AAACCAACAGGGAUUGCCUUAGUAGCGGCGAGUGAAGCGGCAAAAGCUCAAAUUUGAAAUCUGGCUCUUUCAGAGUCCGAGUUGUAAUUUGAAGAAGGUAUCUUUGGGUCUGGCUCUUGUCUAUGUUUCUUGGAACAGAACGUCACAGAGGGUGAGAAUCCCGUGCGAUGAGAUGAUCCAGGCCUAUGUAAAGUUCCUUCGAAGAGUCGAGUUGUUUGGGAAUGCAGCUCUAAGUGGGUGGUAAAUUCCAUCUAAAGCUAAAUAUUGGCGAGAGACCGAUAGCGAACAAGUACAGUGAUGGAAAGAUGAAAAGAACUUUGAAAAGAGAGUGAAAAAGUACGUGAAAUUGUUGAAAGGGAAGGGCUUGAGAUCAGACUUGGUAUUUUGUAUGUUACUUCUUCGGGGGUGGCCUCUACAGUUUAUCGGGCCAGCAUCAGUUUGGGCGGUAGGAGAAUUGCGUUGGAAUGUGGCACGGCUUCGGUUGUGUGUUAUAGCCUUCGUCGAUACUGCCAGCCUAGACUGAGGACUGCGGUUUAUACCUAGGAUGUUGGCAUAAUGAUCUUAAGUC
rnacentral:rRNA from 1 species